rnacentral:piRNA from 1 species
UGUAUUGAGAAGAAAAGGAUCUUUAGAUAA